rnacentral:lncRNA from 1 species
GAGCUGAAGUACAGCAAACCAAGGAAAGCGAACCAAGCAAAAUGAGUAGAGUGUGAUGAAUUUAGGUUCCAGCCAUGAGUUCCUUAAUUGGUGCAAGUGACACCAUGCCAAGUACUGUGAGAUGAAUUUAGGUUCCAGACUGACAGAGCAGCAUGAGGGUCAGAGGCUUUGGAUUUCAAAGAUGGAAGUGCAUGUAUCGGUGUUAGCAACAAGAGCUCCUGGCUUGUUCAUGCUGCAAUCUAGAAUAAUUUGAAGCUUGAGGAGGAUGAGCCAUGAAAUCUGGAGAUGCUCUUUCAUUUUUGAAAUGAGGAUCAUGGACUGCAGGGCUUGCCCUAGAUGUAUGGC